AAUAAAUUUUUUAUAGUUUAUAAAUUUAUUAUAAAUUUAUUUUGCAUAUAAAUUUUAGUGUUUAUUUUUCAUUAUUUUAAUAAUUUUUGAAUUUUAAAAUAUAUAGCAAUUAAUAUUAAAAAUUUAAGAGAUUAAGAUUUAGUAAUAUUUAAAUUAAUAACAAAUUUUGUGCCAGCAGUUGCGGUUAUACAAAAAUUAAAUUAAAUUUUAUUAGUAAUUAAUUUAUAAAAAUUUUAUUUAAUUAAAUAUUAAAUUUAAUAGGUGAAAUUUUUAUUUGAUUUAAUUUAAUUUAAUUUUAUAAUUUAAUAAAUUUAUAUUAUAAACUAGGAUUAGAUACCCUAUUAUUAAAAAUUUAAAUUUAAAAUACUAAAAUAGUAUAUAAUUAUUUAUUGAAACUUAAAUAAUUUGGCGGUAUUUUAGUUCAUUUAGAGGAAUCUGUUUAUUAAUUGAUAAUCCACGAAUGAAUUUACUUAAUUUAAAAUUUUGUAUAUCGUUGUUAAAAAAAUAUUUUUAAAUGAAAAUAAUAUUUUAAUUUUAUAAUUAAAAAUUAAAUCAGAUCAAGAUGCAGAUUAUAAUUAAGAAUAUAAUGGAUUACAAUAAAUUUAUUUAAAUGAAUUUUUUUUUGUAAUAAAAAUUUGAAAGUGGAUUUAAAUGUAAUUUUAUUUAUUUUAAUAAAAUGAUUAUAUAUUAAAAUAUGUACAUAUUGCCCGUCGCUUUCAUAAAUAAAUUGGAAUAAGUCGUAACAAAGUAGAGGUACUGGAAAGUGUUUCUAGAAAUAA
rnacentral:ncRNA from 1 species